GAUGAACGCUGGCGGCGUGCCUAAUACAUGCAAGUCGAGCGAACGGACGAGAAGCUUGCUUCUCUGAUGUUAGCGGCGGACGGGUGAGUAACACGUGGAUAACCUACCUAUAAGACUGGGAUAACUUCGGGAAACCGGAGCUAAUACCGGAUAAUAUUUUGAACCGCAUGGUUCAAAAGUGAAAGACGGUCUUGCUGUCACUUAUAGAUGGAUCCGCGCUGCAUUAGCUAGUUGGUAAGGUAACGGCUUACCAAGGCAACGAUGCAUAGCCGACCUGAGAGGGUGAUCGGCAACACUGGAACUGAGGAACGGUCCAGACUCCUACGGGAGGCAGCAGUAGGGAAUCUUCCGCAAUGGGCGAAAGCCUGACGGAGCAACGCCGCGUGAGUGAUGAAGGUCUUCGGAUCGUAAAACUCUGUUAUUAGGGAAGAACAUAUGUGUAAGUAACUGUGCACAUCUUGACGGUACCUAAUCAGAAAGCCACGGCUAACUACGUG
rnacentral:rRNA from 1 species